rnacentral:misc_RNA from 1 species
AUCGAAAAUUUCCUUCUUUUUUGCCAUCUCUUCCACUUUAACUGUGGCAGCAUCGAUAACCUCCACUUCAUAUUCUUUGCAAACCAUCUUCACCAUGUCAUUGCUGAGAGUUUGCACACCAUCAGGCUUGAUUCCUUUUGAAUAUAGAAGACCAAGGAUUUCACCUUCGCUAGUAGCUAAGUUGUAGGCCAACUCCUCAGUCGGCAUGCCUUCUUCACCAACCUCUAGAAUUUCUACUUUGACAGGUGCAGACUCUUGAGCAGCCUUAAGUCGAGCUGCCUUGCGACUUGCCUUAGUCCACUUCCUUCCCUUCCUUGCUCUACCAGGAAGAGAAACAUCAAGCUCUGAUGCUUCCUCGUCGGGAAUCCCAUCAUCAACCAUACGCCUGCGUUGUCCUCCAGAUACACCACUCUUUUUACGGAACUCCUCCCUGAAUUUACCAGGAGGUGCGCUCUUUCCAAAUUUAGGAGGGGCUAAAACAGCUUGAGCAAUCACAGGAUCAACAGCUGAUUUCUUGGAGGCAAAUUUAUCAACCAAUAUUGUCUUGCGUUCUUUGGUCUUUCCAGCUGCUUCAAGUUCUUUGGUCUUUCCAACAGAUUCAACUCCAUCAGAGGGUGGGGACUUCGCCGCAGCACCAACAUCCUUCAAUAUCACCGGUUUCUUGAUAAUAGGAGGAGGAGGAGCUACAGAUGGUCUUGCUAGUAACUGUGGUUGAACUUUCUGGGGUGGCUGAGGGGGUUUUAUUGGAGCAACACUUUGGGAUUCACUAUUCCUUCCACCAUCAGUCAUUGGUUCCUGUUUAGGGGGUGGUUUUACAACUUUUUGUACAGCAGCAAUCGGAUUCCCUUUUUUCCAGACACUCUUCAAAGUUUUCGACUUCCUGUUGGAAGAAUCAUCAGAAUCAACUGUCUUGCUAUUUCUUUGUGUAGUACGUGCACUGGCAGACGCCUUGUUAACCGAAACAUUUGUUUUUCUGUUAGUUUCUA